rnacentral:rRNA from 1 species
CUUUAGAAUUAAAUUUAAGGUCUAACCUGCCCACUGAAAUUUUAAAUGGCCGCAGUAUUUUAACUGUGCAAAGGUAGCAUAAUCAUUAGUCUUUUAAUUGAAGGCUGGAAUGAAUGGUUGGAUGAAAUAUUAACUGUUUCAUAAAAAUUUAAAAUAGAAUUUUAUUUUUUAGUUAAAAAGCUAAAAUGUAAUUAAAAGACGAGAAGACCCUAUAAAUCUUUAUAUUUUUAUAUUUUUAAUUAUAAAGAAAAAUUUAAUUAUGAUUAUUUAAAAUAUUUUAUUGGGGUGAUAUUAAAAUUUACAAAACUUUUAAUUAAUAAUUUACAUAAAUUAAUGAAUUAUUGAUCCAUAAAUUAUGAUUAAAAAAUUAAGUUACUUUAGGGAUAACAGCGUAAUUUUUUUAGAGAGUUCAUAUUGAUAAAAA